rnacentral:misc_RNA from 1 species
GUAGGUGAACCUGCGGAAGGAUCAUUAAAUAAAACAGGGUAUAAUUCUGGGCUUUUUCGGAGGCUCAUUAUUUUGUUCUAAAACUAUUACUGUGAACUGUAUUAUUAUUUGACAUUUGAGGGAUGUUUCAACGUUAUAGGGAUAGAUGUUGGAAAUGUUAACCGAUAGUCAUAAUCAGGUUUAGGCCUGGUAUCCUAUUUUUAUUUAUUUUAACCAAAAAGAAUUCAGAAUUUAAUAUUGUAACAUGGAUCGUAAAAAAAUCUAUAAAAACAACUUUUAACAACGGAUCUCUUGGUUCUC